rnacentral:rRNA from 1 species
GACGAGGGGUCCUAGCGUUGUUCGGAAUCAUUGGGCGUAAAGCGUGUGUAGGUUGCCAUUCAAGUCAGUUGUGAAAGCCCCGGGCUUAACCCGGGAAGUGCUUCUGAUACUGUUUGGCUUGAGUACUGGAGAGGAUAGUAGAAUUCCUGGUGUAGUGGUGAAAUACGUAGAUAUCAGGAGGAAUACCGGUGGCGAAGGCGGCUAUCUGGCCAUGUACUGACACUGAGAGAC